UACGAAGGGGGCUAGCGUUGUUCGGAAUUAUUGGGCGUAAAGAGCUCGUAGGCGGUCUGUCGCGUCCGUUGUGAAAACUCGAGGCUCAACCUCGGGCUUGCAGUGGAUACGGGCAGACUAGAGUGCGGUAGGGGAGACUGGAAUUCCUGGUGUAGCGGUGGAAUGCGCAGAUAUCAGGAGGAACACCGAUGGCGAAGGCAGGUCUCUGGGCCGCAACUGACGCUGAGGAGCGAAAGCCAGGGGAGCAAACGGG
rnacentral:rRNA from 1 species